rnacentral:rRNA from 1 species
UACAGGGGGGGCAAGCGUUGUUCGGAAUUACUGGGCGUAAAGGGCUCGUAGGCGGCCAACUAAGUCGGACGUGAAAUCCCCAGGCUCAACCUGGGAACUGCGUCCGAUACUGGAUGGCUUGAAUCCGGGAGAGGGAUGCAGAAUUCCAGGUGUAGCGGUGAAAUGCGUAGAUAUCUGGAGGAAUACCGGUGGCGAAGGCGGCAUCCUGGACCGGCAUUGACGCUGAGGAGCGAAAGCCAGGGGAGCAAACGGG